rnacentral:rRNA from 1 species
AUACGGGGGGGGCAAGCGUUGUUCGGAUUUACUGGGCGUAAAGGGCGCGUAGGCGGUUCGUUAAGUCGGAUGUGAAAACUCUGGGCUCAACCCAGAGACUGCAUUCGAUACUGGCGGACUAGAGUGCGAGAGGGGAAAGCGGAAUUCCUGGUGUAGCGGUGAAAUGCGUAGAUAUCAGGAGGAACACCGGCGGCGAAGGCGGCUUUCUGGAUCGCAACUGACGCUGAGGCGCGAAAGCUAGGGGAGCAAACAGGAUUAGAAACCCCGGUAGUCC